rnacentral:rRNA from 1 species
UACGGGGGGGGCAAGCGUUGUUCGGAAUUACUGGGCGUAAAGCGUGCGUAGGCGGCCUUUCAAGUUGGGUGUGAAAGCCCGGGGCUCAACCCCGGAAAUGCGCCCAAGACUGUUUGGCUAGAGUCUCGGAGAGGUGAGUGGAACUCCCAGUGUAGAGGUGAAAUUCGUAGAUAUUGAGAAGAACACCAGUGGCGAAGGCGGCUCACUGGACGAGUACUGACGCUGAGGCACGAAAGCGUGGGGAGCAAACAGG